AGAGUUUGAUCAUGGCUCAGAAUGAACGCUGGCGGCGUGCUUUACACAUGCAAGUCGAGCGAGGCUGGGGGGCAACUCCCAAGUCGAGCGGCGAACGGGUGAGUAACGCGUGGAUGACCUGCCCUUUAGUGGGGAACAACCAGGGGAAACUCUGGCUAAUACCGCAUGAGACCGAAAGGUGAAAGCGGGCCGCAAGGCUCGCGCUGAAGGAGGGGUCCGCGUCCGAUUAGCUAGUUGGUAGGGUAAUGGCCUACCAAGGCGACGAUCGGUAGCCGGCCUGAGAGGGUGAUCGGCCACACUGGAACUGAGACACGGUCCAGACUCCUACGGGAGGCAGCAGUGGGGAAUUUUGCGCAAUGGGCUAACGCCUGACGCAGCAACGCCGCGUGGAGAAUGAAGGUCUUUGGAUUGUAAACUCCUGUCAGCGGGGAAAAAGGGACUGUGGCUAACAUCCACGGAACUUGAUUGUACCCGCAGAGGAAGCCCCGGCUAACUCUGUGCCAGCAGCCGCGGUAAUACAGAGGGGGCAAGCGUUAUUCGGAAUUAUUGGGCGUAAAGGGCGCGUAGGCGGCUUUUCAAGUGACGGGUGAAAUCCCUCGGCUUAACCGAGGAACUGCCUGUCAGACUGGAAGGCUUGAGACCGGGAGAGGUGAGUGGAAUUCCCAGUGUAGCGGUGAAAUGCGUAGAUAUUGGGAGGAACACCAGCGGCGAAGGCGGCUCACUGGACCGGAACUGACGCUGAGGCGCGAAAGCGUGGGGAGCAAACAGGAUUAGAUACCCUGGUAGUCCACGCCGUAAAC
rnacentral:rRNA from 1 species